rnacentral:rRNA from 1 species
CCUACGGGGGGCAGCAGUGGGGGAUAUUGCACAAUGGGGGAAACCCUGAUGCAGCGACGCCGCGUGAGUGAAGAAGUAUUUCGGUAUGUAAAGCUCUAUCAGCAGGGAAGAAAAAAGACGGUACCUGACUAAGAAGCCCCGGCUAACUACGUGCCAGCAGCCGCGGUAAUACGUAGGGGGCAAGCGUUAUCCGGAUUUACUGGGUGUAAAGGGAGCGUAGACGGCGAUGCAAGUCUGAAGUGGAAGGCGGGGGCCCAACCCCCGGACUGCUUUUGAAACUGUAUAGCUGGGGUGCAGGAGAGGUA